rnacentral:rRNA from 1 species
GACGAACGCUGGCGGCGUGCCUAAUACAUGCAAGUCGAGCGCAGGAAACUGACGGAACUCUUCGGAGGGAAGGCAGUGGAAUGAGCGGCGGACGGGUGAGUAACACGUAAGGAACCUGCCUCAAGGAUUGGGAUAACUCCGAGAAAUCGGAGCUAAUACCGGAUAGUUCAACGGACCGCAUGGUCCGCUGAUGAAAGGCGCUUCGGCGUCACCUUGAGAUGGCCUUGCGGUGCAUUAGCUAGUUGGUGGGGUAACGGCCCACCAAGGCGACGAUGCAUAGCCGACCUGGGGGGGUGAUCGGCCACACUGGGACUGAGACACGGCCCAGACUCCUACGGGAGGCAGCAGUAGGGAAUCUUCCACAAUGGACGAAAGUCUGAUGGAGCAACGCCGCGUGAGUGAUGAAGGUUUUCGGAUCGUAAAACUCUGUUGUAAGGGAAGAACACGUACGAGAGGAAAUGCUCGUACCUUGACGGUACCUUACGAGAAAGCCACGGCUAACUACGUGCCAGCAGCCGCCGUAA